rnacentral:lncRNA from 1 species
ACUGAUUACAAGGUGACUGGAAACGGUUGUGCCCCGGAAGGGGAUAUCUCAGAGGUACUCACAGAGAAAGUUGUUGACCGUCCCGCCAAUCUACCAUCAAUACUUCAUCUUGCCAUAUGUUCCAGUCUAUGCAAUGACAGCUCCCUAUCAUACAACGGAAAGACACAUAGUUUUGACAAGAUCGGAGAGUCAACUGAAGUGGCACUCCGAGUUCUCGCGGAGAAAAUUGGUUUGCCUGGCUUUGAUGAUAUGCCCAGAGCAUUGACGUACUUGAGCUUGGAAGAACGUGCGAGCCACUGUGCAACUUACUGGCGAGGGCAGUUUGAGCGAGUAUCUACCCUAGAGUUUGACCGAGAUCGCAAGAUGAUGAGUGUAAUCGGAAAGCGAAAGGGGCAGAGCAUUCUGUUUACAAAAGGAAGCCCAGAGGCAGUUUUGCUUCGAUGCACACGGGUACUCACCAAUUCAAAGGGCAUCGCGGAGCCAAUUUCGACACAAGUUCGAGAUGCAUUGACUGAAAAAUAUAGAACAUAUGCCCGCAGAUCCUUGAGGGUGCUGGCACUCGCAAUGCGUCCAAUAUCUUCAGACCAGUGUCAUAUAUCACCUUCAG